GGUACAAGCAUUUCGAAAGCGUCCUGCGAUAGUAAGUGAUGACACACCUUCUUUCAUGCACUCAGAGUACGUACCAAAUCUGUUGUUGACACUAGUGGUUUCCGUAUACCGCUUACCGAAAGUACGUGGAAGAGCCCAACUGCUAUGAUUGGAGGUCCGAGAAAGACAAACAAAAGUAUGGCCACAAACUAGCGGUGAGGCGAGAAUUCCUGGUACUUACUCCUCCUGCCUUUAGUUCUACUACUACUGAUGGAUGUCUUGUAUGGAUACUACUACCCGUCGUAAUUUUCAUGUAUUACCUUCAUCAUGCAUGCAGUGCGCUAUGCUUGUGAGUACCUUAGGACUUGCGGGAAAUUCAACAAUAGCUGGCGGCAGCUACAGAAAUCCCAAAGUUGGUGGGAAAAGGAAAUGAUUGAUCAAAGGGCCAUCACGCAAACAGUAACUGACAUUUGUAAGUUUGUCACCGAUCAAUGUUGUCAUGUUGACGGAUAGUUCUUCUAUACCGGG
rnacentral:lncRNA from 1 species